AGCCUCUAACUCCCCAUCUACCUAUUAUCAUCUAUCACUCUCACGCCUUUGAUUAUUCUUAUCACAUGAAAUUUACACAAUAAAAUCCAACAUCUUCCCUUGUUAUCAUCCAAUAGACUACUAGAUUCAUCAAAGAUUCAUGAGUCAGGCAACAAAGUUCCAUUCAUGGACCUUUAUUAGAGAUCUACUCAAAUGGAAAUCAUUGAGCAUGCUUUAUAUUUCUUCACCUUCUCUUUUAUGCUUUGCUCUAUUCUUUAUUCUAGCCAUGGACAACAAACAUCUUCAACGACCAUGAUUUUCUUGAUUAAUUAAUUAAGACAGGUAUUGCAGCAGGUCAGCUGCCACAGAAACUAUCACAGGAACCUUGCUGACGGACUGAAAAUAGCAGGAAGGUGGUGGUGCAACAUCAAUGUGCUGGAGAUGAAAGAUGAGCUAGUGCUUUUUAACAAAAGAUUAACAUCUCCGAACGUUGUAAAAGCUCACUUAGGAGCUGAGUGGGAAGCAGAACGUUGUUCAACAAAAGAUGCUCUUUCCUGCUGAGUGGGUGCAUAAAUUAGUUUAGUGUGAAUGGCUGUAUGACAAGUUUCUGGUCAUGGAGGUUCUCCAAAACAACCGUGUUGGAAACGAGGUUCAACAUUGUCACCAACGCUCAACUAUCUUUGCACUCAAAGCUAGCUUGCUGUGAUGGAAUUUGUGAAUGUGAAAACUCUAGCUGUAUCAAAGAGAGAUGGGGAAGCGACUCUUUUCUUUUUCAGCAGGAACAUAAACGGCCUUCGUCAGACUUUCAGCCAAAGAGAAUUAAUUGACUUCGGGCUCGCACCCUAUGUGCUCGAUCCGAUCAACGAAAAUCAAUCCUGAAAUAACAAUAGAAAUGGUUAAGUAAGUACGCGAAUCUUGACAGUUUUUGGAGAAAGCGUCUGUUCACGUCAGGGCCCUUUGAAGGAAGAAAAUGAUUUAUGUACGUAGUACUCAUAUCAGCUUCGAAAAAUAGUAAUAUAUAAAAUAUUGUAUGAAGAAAAUGAUUUAUGUAAUCCAAAACGAUAGAAAAUAAAAUAAUUGUAAAAUAUAAAUUGUUAUUUUAUAUAGA